GAUGAACGCUGGCGGCGUGCCUAAUACAUGCCAGUCGAGCGAACGGACGCGUAGCUUUCUUUUCUGAUGUUAGCGGCGGACGUGUUAGUAACACGUGGAUACCCUACCUAUAAGUCUGGGAUAACUUCGUGAACCCGUAGCUCAUACCGGCUAAUAUUUUGAACCGCAUGGUUCAAAGGUAAAAUUCGGUCUUGCUGUCUCUUAUAGAUGGUUCCGCGCUGCAUUAGGUAGUUGGUAAGGUAAUGGCUUACCAAGGCUACGAUGCAUAGCCGAGCUGAGAGGGUGAUCAGCCACACUGGAACUGAGACACGGUCCAGACUCCUACGGGAGGCAGCAGUAGGGAAUCUUCCGCAAUGGGCGAAAGCCUGACGGAGCAACGCCGCGUGAGUGAUGAAGGUCUUCGGAUCGUAAAACGCUGUUAUUAGGGAAGAACAUAUGUGGAAGUAAAUGUGCACAUCUUGACGGUACCGAAACAGAAAGCCACGGCUAACUACGUG
rnacentral:rRNA from 1 species